UACAGAGGUCUCAAGCGUUGUUCGGAUUCAUUGGGCGUAAAGGGAGCGUAGGUGGCGGGGCAAGUCAGGUGUGAAAUCUCGGGGCUCAACCCCGAAACUGCACUUGAUACUGCCUUGCUAGAGUACUGGAGAGGAGAUUGGAAUUUACGGUGUAGCAGUGAAAUGCGUAGAUAAUCGUAAGGAAGACCAGUGGCGAAGGCGAAUCUCUGGACAGUUACUGACACUGAGGCUCGAAGGCCAGGGGAGCAAACGGGGAUUAGAUGCCCCG
rnacentral:rRNA from 1 species